CAUUUAGCUAUUUAUUUAAAGUAUUAAAAUUACAAACAGACCCUGUAUCAAGUCUUACAAUUGAAUCAAAUAUAAAUUACAUUUAAUCAUAUUUGUCUAUCUACUGGUUAUAUAUCUAGCGUUUGCUCAGUAGCUGGUAUAUUAAUUAUGAUCAAUAAUAUGGUUAAACAGCAGCUUACCGUCACCUCCCCACUGCGCUCUCCCAGCCUGAAGAAAAUGAGCCGUCACCGGUUUUGCUGCCGCUGGAGCCGCCUCUCCUCUUCCUCCAACAACAAAUAAAUAUAUUAAAAAAUUCCAAAUGUCUAAAUCCACACUGUUGUCCCGUUUGUUGUCUAGUCCGUGUUGUGUCGCUGUCGCUGCUUUUGUUUUUCCCGGGGCAAAAUUUAUGACGUCGCGCCACAAUCAGGAAGUGCUUUGAAGGCCAGACCGUCCCAUUUACCAACGGUGGAGGAUCCUCCGGAGGAUCCUCAGGAGGACGCGGCCUCCUGAGACCGCGUAGGCUGCGUCCUCCGAAGGAUGCAGACCCUGAAAUGGGACACAGCCGCUGUCUCCUACCUGCGCUCACAGGCACGCUGCCCCGCUGCUGUCUGAUUGGACAGCGGCGAGUCACGCGGUGACUGCGUCAGUUCAAACAAACUUUAUUGAUGUGAAGUCGUUAACAGCAGCAACAGGUUCAGCUCACACAAACAUGUGUGUGUGUGUUUGUGUUUGUGUGUCUGUGUGUCAGUUUGAAACUUAGAGCUCCUCCUCCUCCUCCUCUUCCUCCUCUUCCUCCUCCUCCUCCCUGAGAACACUGUGUGCAUGUAAACAAAGUGUCAAACCUGCAGCAGAUCUUUCCGGGCUUUACUCUCAAAUGCAGCCGUUUUUACUGUGCGUGGUGUUCCUGCACCUCUCUCUGCUGUCUGCAUUGGACGAUCACAGAGCGGAGACGGUCCGGCCUGGACAGGACGUCCCUCUUCAGUGUCAGGGUCCUGGCGGGGAAGUGGUCACUCUGCUGGAGUGGAGCCGGUCCGACCUCAAGGAGGACGGCUACGUCUUCUUCUACAGGAACAGCCGCUCGUAUGAAAACUACCAGCACUCAUCUUUCAGAGGACGGGUGCAGCUCAGAGACCUGUCCAUGAAGGACGGGGAUGUGUCUGUGGUCCUCCAGAACGCCAACCUCAACGACAGCGGCGUGUACGAGUGCAGAGUCAUCAGCAGCACGGAGAGCGGAGGCCGCAGUCAGGUCAGCUGUUCGGUCCAUGUGACGGUGAUGGAGACCACAACAGUGACGUCAACAGUGACGUCUUCAGGUCUCCAAGAGAAGGACGGCAGAGACAAGGGGACAAACGGGGACACAAGUCUUCUUGUUGUUGUUGUAGUUCCUGUUGUGUUGCUUGUUGUUGUUGUUGUUGUUUGUGUUGUUGUUUGUGUUGUGUGUGUCAGAAGACACAGCAGGUCACCAAAGUACAACCUGUCAGCUGAGACGGAGAAGGCCUGA
ensembl:lncRNA